UUUCAACUCCCAAACCCAAUGUGAACGUUACCAAACUGUUGCCUCGGCGGGAUCUCUGCCCCGGGUGCGUCGCAGCCCCGGACCAAGGCGCCCGCCGGAGGACCAACCAAAACUCUUAUUGUAUACCCCCUCGCGGGUUUUUUACUAUCUGAGCCAUCUCGGCGCCCCUCGUGGGCGUUUCGAAAAUGAAUCAAAACUUUCAACAACGGAUCUCUUGGUUCUGGCAUCGAUGAAGAACGCAGCGAAAUGCGAUAAGUAAUGUGAAUUGCAGAAUUCAGUGAAUCAUCGAAUCUUUGAACGCACAUUGCGCCCGCCAGUAUUCUGGCGGGCAUGCCUGUCCGAGCGUCAUUUCAACCCUCGAACCCCUCCGGGGGGUCGGCGUUGGGGAUCGGCCCUUUACGGGGCCGGCCCCGAAAUACAGUGGCGGUCUCGCCGCAGCCUCUCCUGCGCAGUAGUUUGCACACUCGCAUCGGGAGCGCGGCGCGUCCACAGCCGUUAAACACCCCAAACUUCUGAAAUGUUGACCUCGGAUCAGGUAGGAAUACCCGCUGAACUUAAGCAUAUCAAUAGGCAGGAGGAA
rnacentral:rRNA from 1 species